GACGAACGCUGGCGGCGUGCCUAAUACAUGCGAGUCGAGCGAAUGACGAGAAGCUUGCUUCUCUGAUUUAGCGGCGGACGGGUGAGUAACACGUGGGCAACCUGCCCUACAGAUUGGGAUAACUCAGGGAAACCUGGGCUAAUACCGGAUAAUCCUUCGAAUCACAUGUUUUGAAGUUGAAAGGCGCUUCGGCGUCACUGUAGGAUGGGCCCGCGGUGCAUUAGCUAGUUGGUGGGGUAACGGCCUACCAAGGCAACGAUGCAUAGCCGACCUGAGAGGGUGAUCGGCCACAUUGGGACGGAGACACGGCCCAAACUCCUACGGGAGGCAGCAGUAGGGAAUCUUCCACAAUGGACGAAAGUCUGAUGGAGCAACGCCGCGUGAGUGAUGAAGGUUUUCGGAUCGUAAAACUCUGUUGUAAGGGAAGAACAAGUACGUUAGGAAAUGAACGUACCUUGACGGUACCUUAUUAGAAAGCCACGGCUAACUACGUGCCAGCCGCCGCAGUAA
rnacentral:rRNA from 1 species